GUGCUGCUCACUUUGGCAGCACAUACACUAAAAUUGAAACAGUACAGAGAAGAUUAGCAUGGCCCCUGCACAAGGAUGACACACAAAUUUGCAAAGCGUUCUGUAUUUUU
rnacentral:snRNA from 1 species